rnacentral:rRNA from 1 species
GUGAAGAAUAUUGCUCAAUGGGGGAAACCCUGAAGCAGCAACGCGGCGUAAAGGAUGAAGGCGCUUUGCGUUGUAAACUUUUGUAGUCGGGGACAAACCGGGAGUUACUACUCCCCUGAUGGUACCCGAAAAGUAAGGAUCGGCUAACUACGUGCCAGCAGCCGCGGUAAUACGUAGGAUCCGAGCGUUGUCCGGAUUUACUGGGUGUAAAGGGUGCGCAGGCGGACUGGUAAGUCAGAGGUGAAAUCUCGUCGCUUAACGACGAAACUGCCUUUGAUACUAUCAGUCUUGAAUCCGGUAGAGAUCUGUGGAAUUCCGAGUGUAGCAGUGAAAUGUGUAGAUAUUCGGAAGAACACCAGUGGCGAAGGCAGCAGAUUGGGCCGGUAUUGACGCUCAGGCACGAAAGCAUGGGGAUCAAACAGGAUUAGAGACCCUGGUAGUCCAUGCCCUAAACGAUGUUCACUUGAUGUCUGCCCUCAGGGUAGGUGUCGAAGCUAACGCGAUAAGUGAACCACCUGGGGAGUACGCUCGCAAGGGUGAAACUCAAAGGAAUUGACG